GGGGAGUUAACUCAGCUGGUAGAGUAUCACCUUGACAUGGUGGAAGUCGUAGGUUCGAGUCCUAUACUCCCCA
rnacentral:tRNA from 1 species